UACGGAGGGCGCGAGCGUUACCCGGAUUUACUGGGCGUAAAGGGCGUGAAGGCGGCCUGGGGCGUCCCAUGUGAAAGGCCACGGUUCAACCGUGGAGGAGCGUGGGAUACGCUCAGGCUAGACGGUGGGAGAGGGUGGUGGAAUUCCCGGAGUAGCGGUGAAAUGCGCAGAUACCGGGAGGAACACCGAUGGCGAAGGCAGCCACCUGGUCCACCCGCGACGCUGAGGCGCGAAAGCGUGGGGAGCAAACCGG
rnacentral:rRNA from 1 species